GUGUACUUAGAAGUACGCUUCCUUUGGAUGUUUUAUUUGGUGGUAGGUCAGGCUCCUGGGAGGUUUCGGACUGGGAAACUAAGGGCUGUCGUUGAACCUCAGCUUUUUGAGGCUUCUGAGAGGUUUACGUAUUAGCGCUAGAACCUCCAGUAUAUACAAGGCACCAGAGGAAGAUUCUGAAGUGCUUAGAGAUCCCAAGAGUCUUGCUGGGAAAACAUGCUGUACCUAAGCCGUGAAAUCUUAAAUACAAGUGCAAACAAAACAGCACAACACACACAAUUGGUAGUUGGAUUCGUAGAACAACUAACAAAUGCCCCAGGCAUUCUGGGGACGAAGUUUUUUCACUGUGUCCUGAGAGGCAGUGAGGCUUCCCCUUGGCAGAGGAGCCUAGAUUUAUGCUGGAUCCUAGAGGAAUGGAACUGGGAAAGGUCUCAAGAUGGCUGCUGAGGCACCAAACAUCAUGUCCACAUGCAAGACAAGAAGAAAGAGGAAGGGAGGAAAAUAUACUAAUAGACUUCUGCUGUCAUCCCACUGAUAAAAAUCUGGAUAAUGCCGCAGAAGCCGCUGAACAAUUUAAAUUAAUCCAAGCAGCAUAUGACGUGUUGAGUGACCCUCAGGAGAGAGCGUGGUAUGAUAAUCAUAGAGAAGCUCUACUUAAAGGUGGGCUUGAUGGGGAAUAUCAAGACGACAGCUUAGAUUUGCUUCACUAUUUCACUGUGACCUGUUACUCUGGUUAUGGAGAUGAUGAAAAGGGCUUUUAUACAGUCUAUCGUAAUGUUUUUGAAAUGAUUGCGAAGGAAGAACUAGAAUCUGUGUUAGAAGAGGAGAUGGAAGAUUUCCCCACUUUUGGAGACUCCCAGAGCGACUAUGAUACGGUAGUCCAUCCUUUCUAUGCCUAUUGGCAGAGUUUCUGCACUCAGAAGAGCUUUGCUUGGAAGGAAGAAUAUGAUACACGACAAGCUUCAAACCGCUGGGAGAAACGAGCCAUGGAAAAAGAAAACAAAAAGAUUCGCGACAAAGCAAGGAAGGAGAAGAAUGAGCUUGUCCGUCAGCUGGUUGCGUUCAUCCGGAAAAGAGACAGGAGAGUGCAGGCGCAUCGGAAGCUCGUGGAGGAACAGAACGCUGAGAAGGCGAGGAAGGCAGAGGAGAUGAGGCGGCAGCAGAAGCUGAAGCAGGCAAAGCUGGCAGAGCAGUACAGAGAGCAGAGCUGGAUGACCGUGGCCGACCUGGAGAAGGAGCUCAAGGAGAUGGAGGCGCGCUAUGAGAAGGAGUUUGGAGAUGGAUCAGAUGAAGAGGAGAUGGAGGAAUCUGAACUCAAAGAUGGGCACGAAGGUAAAGACAGUGAUGAAGCUGAGGAUGCUGAGCUGUACGAUGACCUUUACUGCCCAGCAUGUGACAAAUCUUUCAAGACUGAAAAGGCUAUGAGGAAUCAUGAAAAAUCAAAGAAGCAUCGGGAAAUGGUUGCUUUGUUAAAACAACAGUUGGAGGAGGAGGAAGAAAAUUUUUCAGGACCUCAAACUGAUGAAAAUCCAUUGAAUGCCAAUUCUGAGGAAGAAAUAGAAGAUGCACCAAAACAAAAGCUUUCUAAAAAGCAGAAGAAAAAGAAACAGAAACCAGCACAGAAUUAUGAUGAUAAUUUUAAUGAAAAUGGAACUGAAGAAGGAGUAAAGGUUGAAUCAGAAGAUACCAAUUUAAAUCAAGACUGUGCCAAAGAACUAGAAGGUAGUCCCCAAGCAAAUAGCAGUGUCACAGAGACUGUCCAACUCUGUGAUGAUCCAAAAAGUGAAGCUAAGAAUGCUCCUAAACCCAAAGGAAAGAAAGCCAAAGAUACGAAAAAAUCUGUCAAAGUACCUGCUGAACCACAGACAGUGAGUGAUGUUCUUAUCAGCUGUACAACCUGCCAUAGUGAAUUUCCAUCCCGGAAUAAACUUUUCGACCAUCUGAAAGCCACAGGUCAUGCAAGAGCACCUUCAUCAUGUUCUUUAGGCAGCAUAACAAGUAGUCGAAGCAAGAAAGAGAAACGUAAAAACAGAUAGAAAUUCUGCCAACACUUUUUCUUUUUGAUUGUCUCUAGAUUUUGAAACCAAAAACUGAACUGAAAUCAUCUAAAGAGUUAAAAUUUCGGUGAUCUGCAAUUUAUUGCAUUGUGGAAGAUUAUUUUUUAUCUUGUAAAAACAUUUUUUUUGUUUAAUAUAUAUUUUUUAAACAUUUCAUUAGUGAUUGAAUUCUACUUUGCCAUCUGAAUUGACUUGAAUGUCUCAAAACAGAUUGGCAGAAGGGAAAAAGUCUCACAAGAUCAAGAUUGAAUGUUGAUGAGGAUGAACAACAAAUGAGAACAAAUUCAUUUCUUUUGGAGUAAAAUUGAUUCAAUUUGAUGAUGUCUGUGAAAGUUGAAGAUAGGUUUAGCCUAUGACCGGAGGCUCAGUGGCCUUAGGUAUAUAACUAGUCUCUUUUCCUGGUGCCCACGGAGCAGCAUCUUGGGCUUCACCUGGCAACUCGCUCCUGAGGUAGAGCUCAGGUCCCACCCCGGACUUGCCCCAUGAGUCUGUGGUUGAUUUCUUAGGUGAUUCAUAUGUUCUUUAAGGCUUGAAAAGCAGUACUCUCCAGAACCCAUGCACUUGUACAAUAAUAAGUACAAGGCUUAUUAUUAUUACGUGGAUGCUCACAGCUGAAUUAUUUGUAUCUAGGAAAAGUGGGAGAUAGCCUAAAUGUCCAUGAACAAGAAAACAGAUCAAUUAUGGCCAAUUUUAAGAUGACAAUUGAAUAGUUAAAAUGAGUGAGCUUGAUCUAUAGUACCAGUGGAUAGCCACUGGGGAAGAAAAUAAUGAGUGAAAAUACGCUGUUGGCACGAAUUUUAUUGUUCUUGCUUCCCGAAAGUAUACUUUUGUUCUAGUCUGCCAGCUGACCAGUUGGGAGAUACUUUCUGAAAGCCUUGGAAGCCACGCUCUUGUGUUGCUGGCGAGACCACCAGGGGACAAUUUGUCGUAUUUCUGUUCUGGAGUUUAAUCUUCUCUCGGAAAGGAGCAACAGUUUUUCAAAAAGUGAUUUUGUGUUUGUUUCAAACUUGUUUUAAUGAACUAUGAAAUGCUGUUUGUAAAAGAUCCCCUAGGACACUGAAAGGAAGACAAGCAUCACCUGGAAUCCCACACAUACCAACAUUUUGACAUAGACUCCCACGACCACUUCUAGGCAGAUAAAGAUACUUAAAAACUGAAUUUGUCCUCCAGAUACUGUUUUAUGACUUCAUUUCCACUUAUGCAUGUGCUCUAUGUCUACUACUACAUAUUAUUUAUUUAUUUAAAGUUUUUAUUUAUUCAUGAGAGACGCAGAGAGAGGCAGAGACACAGGCAGACGGAGAAGCAGGCUCCAUGCAGGGAGCCCAUUGUGGGACUCGACUCCGUGAUGCCCUGAGCCACAGACAGACACUCAACUACUGAGCCUCCCAGGCGCCCCUGAUCACAGUUAAAAAAAAAAAAAAAGUGCUACAUUCAUCUGCGUUCUCCCCAAACAUGAAUCAUGUUUUGAAAAG